rnacentral:rRNA from 1 species
UACAGAGGGGUCACAGUGUUGUGAAUUAUUGGGCGUAAAGGGCGCGUAGGCGGCCUGGCAAGUGGAAGGUGAAAUCCCUCGGCUUAACCGAGGAACUGCCCUCCAAACUGCUUAGCUUGAGUCCGGGAGAGGUGAGUGGAAUUCCCAGUGUAGCGGUGAAAUGCGUAGAUAUUGGGAGGAACACCAGUGGCGAAGGCGGCUCACUGGACCGGAACUGACGCUGAGGCGCGAAAGCGUGGGGAGCAAACGGG